rnacentral:snRNA from 1 species
CUACUUACCUGGCAGGGGAGAUACCAUGAUCACGAAGGUGGUUUUCCCAGGGCGAGGCUUAUCCAUUGCACUCCGGAUGUGCUGACCCCUGCGAUUUCCCCAAAUGUGGGAAACUCGACUGCAUAAUUUGUGGUAGUGGGGACUGCGUUCGCGCUCUCCCCU